rnacentral:rRNA from 1 species
UUUUCAGCCGCCGCGGUAACACGUAGGAGCCAAGCGUUAUCCGAAUUCACUGGGCGUAAAGCGCGUGUAGGCGGCUUGGUAAGUUGGAUGUGAAAGCUCCUGGCUCAACUGGGAGAGGACGUUCAAUACUGCCGGGCUAGAGGGCGACAGAGGGAGGUGGAAUUCCCGGUGUAGUGGUGAAAUGCGUAGAUAUCGGGAGGAACACCAGUGGCGAAAGCGGCCUCCUGGGUCGCACCUGACGCUCAGACGCGAAAGCUAGGGGAGCGAACGGGAUUAGAAACCCCUGUAGUCC